UAAUAGAAAAUAAAAUUUAAUACUCAAAUUUCUCCAGGACUUGUCAAAAUCCCUAACCUACAAAACUUGUCAAAUGUUGACUUCCUCUGUUGAUGUUUCCGGCGUCGAAAGUCGUCUCCUCUCCGGCAUCUCAAAUUUCUCCUCUCCGGCAAUUGAUUCACAAUGUUUCUUGAAAAUUAAUUUGCAAUUCUCUCUCGGUGACUCUCGCCCUCUCUUUUUGCGAAAUAUUUCAUAUUUUAACUCAUUUUUUGAUCUUAAACUUUCAGUCGGCAAAAAAUAUUUAUUGAGUACAUCAUGCUGGAUAAGGUGAAUGAUGAAGAGCCACAUGCUCACCAGCUUGGCAAACUGCUAGAGACAUCUCAAUUGGUAACAAUUGAUGUUGCAAGUCCAGAAGCAGCUUGUAGCCAAAGGGGAAUCUGUGGAAACAGGUUUCAAAAUCACUAUCAUUUCAAAGUCUGGUGAAGGUGAAGCUCAUGUAGCUCCUUUGGAGAAAAUACCAGAGAGGGCUGCUUCUAAGCCAUCUCUUGCUGAAAAGAUAGAAGAGGUGAAGCCAAAACCCAAAGUUGAAACAGCACCUGUCUUGGAUAAGCAGCCUAAAGCACCCUCUCUGCCGCCUUCUAAGCGCUCUGCAACUGAGCCCCAGCUUCCACCUAAGGACAGGGAAAGUCGGAUUGUUCAUGAUUGCUAAAACAUUGAAGGACUCUCAGAAUACAUUUGCAAUGUUGACAACAUUCAAUGAAGUUGAUAUGCAAGUUCAGUCCUGCUGUAUUGACUGGUGCCUGUGCCACUUUUUCAUGUUUAUGGGCAUGGCAUCUUUUUAGGAGUGUUUCUGCAUUGGGACGUAUGUAUAUACCCAUUGAAAGAAAGAAAGAGACAACAAAGGCACAAGCACAAGACAGGACAAGUGUCACUCAUACAAAAAUUAAGGUUGGACCACAAAGACAGAAGACUGGAAUGUGGCAAGAGCAGAGCAUGAGAGACAGUUAUGGAGAGAAAAUAAAAGCUGGAAAUGAAUCAAGAGGAAGGAAGGGAAGAAACUUGAGGAAAAGGGAGUGAAGGGAGAGUUUCCAGCCUCUUAAAUGCUGGAUAGUUUAUGUUUUCGUUUCUUUUUUUUUUUUCUGCUGAGUUUUAUGCUGAAUACAGUAGCAGAGAACUGUCUUUGUAUUACUGAAACCUUAUCAAUACAACUAGUAUUUUUCA